UGAACGCUGGCGGCGUGCCUAAUACAUGCAAGUCGAGCGAACGGACGAGAAGCUUGCUUCUCUGAUGUUAGCGGCGGACGGGUGAGUAACACGUGGAUAACCUACCUAUAAGACUGGGAUAACUUCGGGAGACCGGAGCUAAUACCGGAUAAUAUUUUGAACCGCAUGGUUCAAAAGUGAAAGACGGUCUUGCUGUCACUUAUAGAUGGAUCCGCGCUGCAUUAGCUAGUUGGUAAGGUAACGGCUUACCAAGGCAACGAUGCAUAGCCGACCUGAGAGGGUGAUCGGCCACACUGGAACUGAGACACGGUCCAGACUCCUACGGGAGGCAGCAGUAGGGAAUCUUCCGCAAUGGGCGAAAGCCUGACGGAGCAACGCCGCGUGAGUGAUGAAGGUCUUCGGAUCGUAAAACUCUGUUAUUAGGGAAGAACAUAUGUGUAAGUAACUGUGCACAUCUUGACGGUACCUAAUCAGAAAGCCACGGCUAACUACGUG
rnacentral:rRNA from 1 species